CUCGGAACAUCAUUCUUCUUUUGCGGUGCAAAAUUGUUUCAUGUGAAGAUAUCGGAGGGGUUUUCCAUUAAAAAAAUUGUGGUAUUAAGCAGCAACAUCUAGAUAAACAUUAGCAAAGAUGGAAACCACCAAAGAAGCAGGUUUAAACGAGAAAAUUAUAUCUUUCGUUAGUGAGCAUCCCGUUCUUUAUGACAAAGGUUCACGGUCGUAUAAGAACAAUUCAGCACGGAAUAAAUUAUGGGCUGAAUUGGCAAACUCAUUGGAAAUGGAUGUAAAAGCAUUGACAACAAGGUGGAGGACGCUUCGUGAUCGGUAUGCAAAGGAGCGUCGAAGAUAGAAGUUUCGCAAAGAUCAAGAGCAGAGCCUACGGAUUAUACUCCUUGGGAAUAUUCGGACCAGAUGGAAUUUUUGAAGGACCAUGUUAGUCGAAGAGCGACUUUCUGGUGGAACUGGUGGAGCUGCUGUUCGGAUCUAAUUACUCGUCCGAAGAAGAUGAUUCAUCGAGUAUCGUUGUUGUUAAGCAGCCAAAUGGGUCCGUUAAUGUUGUUUGUGAUAAAUGCAAUCUGACUGUAAAUUGUGUCAAUUGUAUGAAAAUUGAUACGAAUAUUAUGGACUCGGGGUCGACUAAUACGUCAGCUAUAAUACCACCAAUGAAUAUGACAGGGUAAAAUUAA